AUUAAACGGUGAAACUGCGAAUGGCUCAUUAAAUCAGUUAUCGUUUAUUUGAUAGUACCUUACUACAUGGAUACCUGUGGUAAUUCUAGAGCUAAUACAUGCUGAAAACCCCAACUUCGGAAGGGGUGUAUUUAUUAGAUAAAAAACCAAUGCCCUUCGGGGCUCCUUGGUGAUUCAUAAUAACUUAACGAAUCGCAUGGCCUUGCGCCGGCGAUGGUUCAUUCAAAUUUCUGCCCUAUCAACUUUCGAUGGUAGGAUAGUGGCCUACCAUGGUGGCAACGGGUAACGGGGAAUUAGGGUUCGAUUCCGGAGAGGGAGCCUGAGAAACGGCUACCACAUCCAAGGAAGGCAGCAGGCGCGCAAAUUACCCAAUCCCGACACGGGGAGGUAGUGACAAUAAAUACUGAUACGGGGCUCUUUCGGGUCUCGUAAUUGGAAUGAGUACAAUUUAAACCCCUUAACGAGGAACAAUUGGAGGGCAAGUCUGGUGCCAGCAGCCGCGGUAAUUCCAGCUCCAAUAGCGUAUAUUAAAGUUGUUGCAGUUAAAAAGCUCGUAGUUGAACCUUGGGUCUGGCUGGCCGGUCCGCCUCACCGCGAGUACUGGUCCGGCUGGACCUUUCCUUCUGGGGAACCUCAUGGCCUUCACUGGCUGUGGGGGGAACCAGGACUUUUACUGUGAAAAAAUUAGAGUGUUCAAAGCAGGCCUUUGCUCGAAUACAUUAGCAUGGAAUAAUAGAAUAGGACGUGCGGUUCUAUUUUGUUGGUUUCUAGGACCGCCGUAAUGAUUAAUAGGGAUAGUCGGGGGCGUCAGUAUUCAGCUGUCAGAGGUGAAAUUCUUGGAUUUGCUGAAGACUAACUACUGCGAAAGCAUUCGCCAAGGAUGUUUUCAUUAAUCAGGGAACGAAAGUUAGGGGAUCGAAGACGAUCAGAUACCGUCGUAGUCUUAACCAUAAACUAUGCCGACUAGGGAUCGGACGGUGUUUCUAUUAUGACCCGUUCGGCACCUUACGAGAAAUCAAAGUUUUUGGGUUCUGGG
rnacentral:rRNA from 1 species